rfam:TPA: Bos taurus chromosome 21, whole genome shotgun sequence.
UCCCUGGUGGCUCAGAGGUUAAAGAAUCUGCCUGCAAUGCAGGAGACACAGGUUCUAUUCCUGGGUUGGGAA